AUUGCUUCUCGGCCUUUUGGCUAAGAUCAAGUGCAGUAUCUGCUCUUAUCAGUUUAAAACCUAGAGCAGGAUUUCCCAACAUACUGUUCAGUGUAAUAUUCUUUGUUAAAAAUAUUUUUCUGAGGCCGGUCAUGGUGGCUCACACCUUUA
ensembl:snRNA U2 U2 spliceosomal RNA